AUUGAACGCUGGCGGCAUGCUUUACACAUGCAAGUCGAACGGUAACAGGCCUUCGGGUGCUGACGAGUGGCGGACGGGGGAGUAAUGCAUCGGAACGUGCCCAGAGGUGGGGGAUAACGCGGCGAAAGCUGUGGUAAUACCGCAUGUUAUCUGAGGAUGAAAGCGGGGGACCAGGCAGCAAUGUUUAGCCUCGCGCCUUUGGAGCGGCCGAUGUCGGAUUAGGUAGUUGGUGGGGUAAAGGCCUACCAAGCCGACGAUCUGUAGCUGGUCUGAGAGGACGAUCAGCCACACUGGGACUGAGACACGGCCCAGACUCCUACGGGAGGCAGCAGUGGGGAAUUUUGGACAAUGGGCGCAAGCCUGAUCCAGCCAUGCCGCGUGCGGGAAGAAGGCCUUCGGGUUGUAAAGCGCUUUUGUACGGAACGAAAAGGCUCUGGCUAAUACCCCGGGCUGAUGACGGUACCGUAAGAAUAAGCACCGGCUAACUACGUG
rnacentral:rRNA from 1 species